rnacentral:rRNA from 1 species
GAAUUCGCCCUUAGAGUUUGAUCCUGGCUCAGGACGAACGCUGGCGGCGUGCUUAACACAUGCAAGUCGAACGGAGCACCCUUGAAAGAGUUUUCGGACAAUGGAGAGGAAUGCUUAGUGGCGGACUGGUGAGUAACGCGUGAGGAACCUGCCUUCCAGAGGGGGACAACAGUUGGAAACGACUGCUAAUACCGCAUGACAUAUCGAAAUCGCAUGGUUUUGAUAUCAAAGAUUUAUCGCUGGAAGAUGGCCUCGCGUCUGAUUAGCUAGUAGGCGGGGUAACGGCCCACCUAGGCGACGAUCAGUAGCCGGACUGAGAGGUUGACCGGCCACAUUGGGACUGAGAUACGGCCCAGACUCCUACGGAGGCAGCAGUGGGGAAUAUUGGGCAAUGGGCGCAAGCCUGACCCAGCAACGCCGCGUGAAGGAAGAAGGCUUUCGGGUUGUAAACUUCUUUUCUCAGGGACGAAGAAAGUGACGGUACCUGAGGAAUAAGCCACGGCUAACUACGUGCCAGCAGCCGCGGUAAUACGUAGGUGGCAAGCGUUAUCCGGAUUUACUGGGUGUAAAGGGCGUGUAGGCGGGAAAGCAAGUCAGAUGUGAAAACCACGGGCUCAACCUGUGGCCUGCAUUUGAAACUGUUUUUCUUGAGUACUGGAGAGGCAGACGGAAUUCCUAGUGUAGCGGUGAAAUGCGUAGAUAUUAGGAGAAACACCAGUGGCGAAGGCGGUCUGCUGGACAGCAACUGACGCUGAGGCGCGAAAGCGUGGGGAGCAAACAGGAUUAGAUACCCUGGUAGUCCACGCUGUAAACGAUGGAUACUAGGUGUGGGGGGACUGACCCCCUCCGUGCCGCAGUUAACACAAUAAGUAUCCCACCUGGGGAGUACGAUCGCAAGGUUGAAACUCAAAGGAAUUGACGGGGGCCCGCACAAGCGGUGGAGUAUGUGGUUUAAUUCGAAGCAACGCGAAGAACCUUACCAGGGCUUGACAUCCCGGUGACCGCUGUAGAGAUACAGUUUUCCCUUCGGGGACACCGGUGACAGGUGGUGCACGGUUGUCGUCAGCUCGUGUCGUGAGAUGUUGGGUUAAGUCCCGCAACGAGCGCAACCCUUAUUGUUAGUUGCUACGCAAGAGCACUCUAGCGAGACUGCCGUUGACAAAACGGAGGAAGGUGGGGACGACGUCAAAUCAUCAUGCCCCUUAUGUCCUGGGCCACACACGUACUACAAUGGUGGUAAACAGAGGGAAGCAAUACCGCGAGGUGGAGCAAAUCCCUAAAAGCCAUCCCAGUUCGGAUCGCAGGCUGCAACCCGCCUGCGUGAAGUUGGAAUCGCUAGUAAUCGCGGAUCAGCAUGCCGCGGUGAAUACGUUCCCGGGCCUUGCACUCACCGCCCGUCA